rnacentral:rRNA from 1 species
GACGGAGGAUGCAAGUGUUAUCCGGAAUCACUGGGCGUAAAGCGUCUGUAGGUGGUUCGAAAAGUCCACUGUUAAAAAUUGAGGCUUAACUUCAAAGAUGCCGUGGAAACUUUCAAACUAGAGUAUGGUAGGGGUAGAGGGAAUUUCCAGUGGAGCGGUGAAAUGCGUAGAUAUCGGAAAGACCACCGAUGGCGAAGGCACUCUACUGGGCCAUUACUGACACUGAGAGACGAAAGCUAGGGGAGCAAAUGGG